UACGUAGGGUGCAAGCGUUGUCCGGAAUUAUUGGGCGUAAAGAGCUCGUAGGCGGUCUGUCGCGUCUGCUGUGAAACUCAGGGCUUAACCCUGAGCUUGCAGUGGGUACGGGCAGACUAGAGUGCGGUAGGAGAGACUGGAAUUCCUGGUGUAGCGGUGAAAUGCGCAGAUAUCAGGAGGAACACCGGUGGCGAAGGCGGGUCUCUGGGCCGAUAUUGACACUGACAGACGAAAGCUAGGGGAGCGAAUGGG
rnacentral:rRNA from 1 species